rnacentral:pre_miRNA from 1 species
ACAACAACAUUCGGACCGUCGGUCUACCGAGCAAUAUCACCCGCUCGGUGGAAGAUCCUCCCUUUGUUGUUCAAG